rnacentral:lncRNA from 10 species
AAUUAUCUCUUAACCAAUAAACACAAUCCAUAUUCACAACCAUGUUGAUGAACAAAACCAAACUCUGCAAGAUAUUUAAAGAGGUUUAUUCUGAGCCAAUAUGAGUGACCAUGGCUGGGAGAACAAUCCCAAGAGGUCCUGAGAAAGUGUGGUCAGUUACAGCUUGGUUUUACACAUUUAGGGAGACAGAAGUUGCAGGCCAAGACAUAAAUCAGUAUGUUAGAGUAGGCAGUUAGGCAGAACUGAGCAGGGCAGGAGAGGGCCCCUAUCAGGUCGUCAGGCAACCAUCAGGUGAUGGUCAGGCAGUUGUUAAACUGUGUCGCUAAAAUGAUAAUUGGUUGCAGCUGGUUCCAGGGACCUGCAGUCUCCCAGUAGAUAGAAAAUACCUGGAGCUAGUGAUCAGCAGCUUCCUGAUAAGAUCUCAGGAGCUAGGCGAGUCGGUUCAAACAUGUGCACUAAGAGGCAAAAUGGGAGUUUAACUGGUAUAUGACCUUCCUCUGGGAAUGCUUGACUGGUAAGAGAAAAAUGCCUCAAACGAGCAUACACACAACUUCAGUAAACGCACUGCACAUGCGGCCCCUCCCAAGUGCUGGCAGGUCACUGUGCAUGCAGACAGCCUGCCCCAAGGGGAAAAUUAAGGGAAGAAAAACACAAACCCCGGAACCAUGCCAAUGUAUAAAACCCCAAGCCCAAGGCUGAACAGGGCACUUGGAUCUCUUAUGUUGCCCACUUGACCCUCUUCCAAGUGUACUUUGCUUCCUUUCAUUCCUGCUCUAAAACUUUUUUAUUUUUUAUUUUUUUGAGAUGAAGUCUCACUCUGUCACCCAGGCUGGAGUGCAAUGGUGUGAUCUCAGCUCACUGCAACCUCCGCCCCCUGGGUUCAAGCGAUUCUCCUGCCUCAGCCUCCCCAGUAGCUGGGAUUACAGGUGUGCAUUACUAUGCCCAGCUAAUUUUUAUAUUUUUAGUAGAGAUGGGGUUUCACCAUGUUGGCCAGGCUGGUCUCGAACUUCUGACCUCAGGUGAUGCGCCCGCCUCAGCCUCCCAAAGUGCUGGGCUUACAGGCAUGAGCCACCACGUCCGAUCUUAUUUAUUGAUUGAUUUAUUGAUUGAGACGGAGUCUCGUCCUGUCGCCCAGGCUGGAGAGCAGUGGUGCAAUCCUUCUCCCAGGUUCAAGUGAUUCUCCUGCCUCAGCCUCCCAAGUAACUGGGACUACAGGCGCGUGCCACCAAGCCUGGCUAAUUUUUUUCUUGUUUUUAGUAGAGAUGGGGUUUUGCCAUGUUGGCCAGGCUGGUCUCGAACUCCUGACCUCAUGAUCCACCUGCCUCGGCCUCCCAAAGUGCUGAGAUUACAGGCAUGAAUCUCAGCCUCUACCGAGGCUGUGAAACCCCGUCUCUACUAAAAAUACAAAAAUUAGCCGGGCGUGGUGGCAGGCACCUGUAAUCCCAGCUACUUGGGAGGUUGAGGCAGGAGAAUUGCUUGAACUUGGUAGGCGGUGGUUGCAGUGAGCCAAGAUCAUGCCAUUGCACUCCAGCUUGGAUAACACAGCGAGACUCUGUCUCAAAACAACAACAAAACAACAAAAUAUAUACAUAUAUAUUUUGGGCUGGGCAUGGUGUCUCACACCUGUAAUCCUAGCAUGUUGGGAGGCUGAGGUGGUUGGAUUGCCUGAGCUCAGGAGUUUGAAACCAGCCUGGACAACAUGGCAACACCCUGUCUCUACUAAAAAUACAAAAAAUUAGCCAGGUGUGGCAGCGUGCAACUGUAAAUCCAGCUACACAGGAGGCUGAGGCAUGAGAAUCUCUUGAACCCAGGAGGCGGAGCUUGCAGUGAGCUGAGAUCAUGCCACUGCAUUCCAGCCUGGUGACAGGCCACUUCACUCCACCCAGGGUGACAGAGUGAGACUCUGUCUCAAAAAAAAAACCACAAACAAACAAACAACAAAAAAAGCAAAACCAUGUAUUUGGGGGUAAAAUAUUUGUAUUUCCCUCAGGUCUCCUAUCUGUCAUGUGAUGCUAUGCCAGAGUUAGGUUGGAAUUUGGUAUCUUAUUGCUACAGAGUCUGUUCUGUCAGUUUUAUGAUUGCUAUUUUAAUGUUCAUGCUGGUCAGUUGUGCCUAAACUCCGAAAAAGGUGGGUAUAAUAAGGCAGCUGACCUUUUUUCCCCGGUCAUGGCUGGGAAUUGUUUUGAGGUUUCUCUAGCAUCCUCUUGGCCCAUUAAGGGGUCUGUUCAGUCAGUUUGGGGUUGGGGGGUUAGGGUUUUAUUUUUGGUUUUCAAUCAUUUCACUGCUGAUUAUAUAACAAAAGCUCAUAGUAUUAUAUUUACCCAACCAUAUGGCUGGAAUUUGAUCCAGCUUGAUCAAGCCUUUCAUUUUCUUGGAGGACCAAAAGUAACAGAACUAGACACUUAGGCCAUAUUGCAAAGAAUAUUUUCUUUCAAUUACAUAAUGAAUCUCUCAGUUUGAGAAAAUAAGGAAGGAUGUCCGUGUUCUACUGAAAUCACUCACAUCCUGUUAUCCUUUGAUAUCUGUUUCUGAGAGUCAUGCCUAGAAAUAGAGGUUCGAGAGACAUGAGAACCCUUGAGAACAUUUUUGUUGUAUUGAUACAAAGCCUGCAUGAAACCCCAUCUCUAUUAAAAAUGCAAAAAUUAGCCGGGCAUGGUGGUGGGCCUGUAAAUCCCAGCUACUCCGGAGGCUGAGGUGGGAGAAUUGCUUGAACCUGGGAGGCAGAGGCUGCAGUGAGCCAAUAUCGCGCCACUGCACUCCAGCCUGGGUGACAGAGCGAGACUCCGUGUCAAAAAACAAAAAAACAAGAAACAUUGUGGCUAAUGCUAAAUAAACACCUGCUUUCCUUCUGGAGUACGGAAUUUUGGUACCAGCUGGGCAGAGGCUGCCUAUGUGACCAGACUUCAGUAAAAACCUUUGGUGCUGUGUCUCUAGUGGGCUUUCCUGGACAGAAAUAUGGCACAUGCCUGUGUUUCUGCAUCUUUGUUGCUGGGGUAAGAGUGUGUUCUGUGUGACUCCUCGGGCUGGAGAGAGCAUAGGAAGCCUGUGUCUGGAUUCCUGUAUGCUCUGCUGAGUCCUUUUCCUUAAGACCCAGCUGCGCAUUCUGACUGCGUCACUGUUGAGUUCAACACGUGCUGAGUCCUGUGAGUCCUAGUGAAUCCCCAAGUUAAGAGGUGGUCCUCAGCCAGGUGUGGUGGCUUAUGCCUGUAAUCCCAGCACUUUGGGAGGCCGAGGCGGGCAGAUCACUUGAGGUCAGUUCGAGACCAGCCUGGCCAACAUGGCGAAACCCUGUCUCUACUAAAAAUACAAAAAUUAGCAGGGCAUGGUGGUGCAUGUCUGUAAUCCCA